CCCCAGGCCUGGGCGCUGUCACCUGGUCCCCACUGGCCCCCGGGCCCCCCCUGGAUGAGGAGACCCCCGGAAACGCCCCGGCCAAGGGCCGGCCCCGCUGCCCGGUGGCUCCGGGGGAGCUGCAGCCGCUGGCCCAGAAGUUGGGGUGCUCCGAGAGACAGCUGGGCAUCGCCUGGUCCCUGCGGCUCGAGGGCGUUCAGGGGUGACACAGAGGUGACAUUGAUGGGGUGGGUGACACUGAGGUGACACUCAGGGUGACACAGGGGUGACACAGGGGUGACACAGAGGUGACACAGAGGUGACAUUGAUGGGGUGGGUGACACUCAGGGUGACACAGGGUGACACUGGGGUGACACUGAGGUGACACAGGGUGACAGGAGGUGACAUUGAUGGGGUGGGUGACACUCAGGGUGACACUCAGGGUGACACAGGGGUGACACAGAGGUGACACAGGGGUGACACAGGGUGACACAUUGUCCCUGUCCCUGUCCCCAGCCUGGUCCCUGCGGCUCG
rnacentral:lncRNA from 1 species